AUUGAACGCUGGCGGCAUGCCUUACACAUGCGAGUCGAACGGUAACAGGUCUUCGGAUGCUGACGAGUGGCGGACGGGUGAGUAAUACAUCGGAACGUGCCCAAUCGUGGGGGAUAGCUCGGCGAAAGCCGGAUUAAUACCGCAUACGAUCUACGGAUGAAAGCAGGGGAUCGCAAGACCUUGCGCGAAUGGAGCGGCCGAUGGCAGAUUAGGUAGUUGGUGGGGUAAAGGCUCACCAAGCCGACGAUCUGUAGCUGGUCUGAGAGGACGACCAGCCACACUGGGACUGAGACACGGCCCAGACUCCUACGGGAGGCAGCAGUGGGGAAUUUUGGACAAUGGGCGCAAGCCUGAUCCAGCAAUGCCGCGUGCAGGAUGAAGGCCUUCGGGUUGUAAACUGCUUUUGUACGGAACGAAAAAGCUCUGGCUAAUACCCGGGGCUCAUGACGGUACCGUAAGAAUAAGCACCGGCUAACUACGUGCCAGCCGCCGCCGUAAGAC
rnacentral:rRNA from 1 species